AGUGAACGCUGGCGGCGUGCUUAACACAUGCAAGUCAAACGAGAACGGAUUAUAGCUUGCUAUAAUUGUCAGCUAAGUGGCGCACGGGUGAGUAAUAUAUAGAUAACCUGCCCUCUAGAAAGGAAUAACAGUUGGAAACGACUGCUAAUGCCCUAUAUGCCUUUAAUACAUAAGUAUGCAAGGGAAACGCUUUAGUGCUAGAGGAUGGGUCUGUAUGGUAUCAGCUUGUUGGUGAGGUAAUGGCUCACCAAGGCUAUGACGCCUAACUGGUUUGAGAGGAUGAUCAGUCACACUGGAACUGAGACACGGUCCAGACUCCUACGGGAGGCAGCAGUGGGGGAAUAUUGCACAAUGGACGAAAGUACUGAUGCAGCAACGCCGCGUGGAGGAUGACACAUUU
rnacentral:rRNA from 1 species